UAUUAGAGUUUGAUCAUGGCUCAGGACGAACGCUGGCGGCGUGCUUAACACAUGCAAGUCGAGCGGUAAGGCCCCUUCGGGGGUACACGAGCGGCGAACGGGUGAGUAACACGUGAGCAAUCUGCCCUCCACAUCGGGAUACCCCCCGGAAACGGGAGCUAAUACCGGAUACGACCACCUCAGGCAUCUGAUGGUGGGUC
rnacentral:rRNA from 1 species